GACGGGGCCCGCACAAGCGGUGGAGCAUGUGGUUUAAUUCGAUGCAACGCGAAGAACCUUACCUGGUCUUGACAUCCACGGAAGUUUUCAGAGAUGAGAAUGUGCCUUCGGGAACCGUGAGACAGGUGCUGCAUGGCUGUCGUCAGCUCGUGUCGUGAGAUGUUGGGUUAAGUCCCGCAACGAGCGCAACCCUCGCCUUUAGUUGCCAGCAUUCAGUUGGGCACUCUAAAGGGACUGCCGGUGUCAAACCGGAGGAAGGCGGGGAUGACGUCAAGUCCUCAUGGCCUUUAUGUCCAGGGCUACACACGUACUACAAUGGCCGGUACAAAGGGCGGCGAGUCAGCGAUGACGAGCAAAUCCCGUAAAGCCGGUCUCAGUCCGGAUUGGAGUCUGCAACUCGGCUCCAUGAAGUUGGAAUCGCUAGUAAUCGUGGAUCAGAAUGCCACGGUGAAUACGUUCCCGGGCCUU
rnacentral:rRNA from 1 species